rnacentral:lncRNA from 1 species
AACUUCAAAUACCCCAUAUAGUUUCGUAUUUUUUGACUUUUCUACUUGUGGUUUAAAGUAUAUUAAGUUAAUACCCUAUAAUUUCACACUUUCUUAUUUUAGUAUCAUGUUGUUUCAAGUGUAUCAAGUUAGUAUCCUGUGAUUUUAAUUUUUUUUCUUUUAUUAUCCAUUUCGGGACAUAUAAUUUAACGAAAUAUUAAACCACAGAGUACUAAAGUGAGAAAGUGCGAAAUCACAGAAUACUAACUUGAUACACUUGAAACCAAAGGGUACUAAAGUGAGAAAGUGUGAAAUUAUAGGGUAUUAACUUGAUACACUUUAAACCAGAGGGUAUUAAAAUGAGAAAGUGCGAAACUACAGGGGGUAUUUAAAGUUUUUCUAUAUAUAUAUAUAUAUAUAUAUAUAUAUAUAUAUAUAUAUAUAUAUAUAUAUAUAUAUAUUUAUCACUAUAGAUGUAGCAAAGUAAUUAUAUAUGCGAUAUGAUUGUAUAGUCUCCAUCUGCGGUGAGGAUGAUAUAUAGAAACAAUGUUAGUCCCAAGUAAACAACGCACAUCUAUUCUUACCGACCGUUAUUCUUACCGACCGUCUCUAGAGCAGGUGGCAAAGGACUUGUUGGUUGGUACUCGAGACCCAAGUUCGAAUCCUAGUUGAUUCGCAUUUCCAGCUAAGUUUAUUUCUAAAUGAAAUAAACGAAACGGAUAGCGUGCUACCUAUCUCUUUCAGAAAAAAAAAAAAAAUUCUAUUCUUAGAAGUUGUUUAUUUUCCGAGCAAGUCAUUGUGGUUGGAGGAAUUAACUUAAUUGAUUAUGUACAACUUAAAGUUUUAAAAAGAUUAUAACUUGCUAAUCGAAAUGAUUAAAAUAAAAAAGAAUCACUAAUUGUAUCUAACACAACUGGCUAAGAAUUUAAGAGAAGAGGGUUCGUGCCUCGCAUGUUGGACCAGGUUCAUGCAAUAAUUCAAAUUGUAAAGAAUAUAUUAUGAAGAUAAAUAAGUAAUGAAGAGUUUCCUUUAAAUUAAUUAAGUGACCAAACACUUUCUAAUUUAUUUAGUUUAGUUAAAUCCAAAAUGGGCUCACCUGGUCGAAUCUAUUCUCGUGUUCUAUGAACCAAUCCACUUUCGUAACGUAUCCAUAAAAAUAUUAAUCCUAGAUGAGGUGAAACCUCUUAUAAUAAAAUGCUGUAGAAUCUAUGCAAACUAUGUUGGAGAUCUGCGCCGAGUUAUAUAAAUAUACUAAGAAGGAUUAUAUUUACAUUUUUGGGCAAAGUGUAACAGCUUCGAUCAGGUGGACAACUGGGAGAAGAGGGGGACCGGGAAUUAAGUGGGGUUAAUGGAAUAAUUGGGGUUCUUCCAAAUGCAUUUGUUUUUAUUUUUUGUUUAUUAUUAUUAUUAUUAUUAUUAUUAUUAUUUUUUUUUUUUUUCUCUUUGUCCACCCACCCACAUAUAAAACAUAUUCCCCAUAGAGAAAAGUGGUGGGAGUUGCCUUACAUUUAGGCCAUGUUUGGAUGCAUAGUUAAAAAAUUCCGUGAAAUUUUUAUUCUAUGGUUUUGAUCUAAAUGAAAUACGAAAUUCUGUAACUACAAAAAAAUUCCACAGCUUCAUUUUUAAGCUGUUUGGAUACAGAUCAUACAAUUCCACAGUAUUUAUAACAAUUAAAUAUCUAAAAUUUUAAAAUUUAAAAUUCAAAAUUCAAAAUUUAAAAAUAAAAUUUUUAAAAAUUAAAAUUCAAAAUUCAAAAUAUAAAAUUAAAUUUUAAAAUUUAAAAUUAAAAAGUAAAUUAGAUUUUAUGUUUUAAAUUUGAAAUUUGAAAUUUGGAAUUUGAAAUUUAAAAUUUAAAAUUUGAAACUUUAAAUUUUAAAAUUUAAAGUAUACCAUUUAAACUUUAAAAUUUGAAAUUUAAAAAAUAUAUAAUUAAAAUUUUAAAUUUUAAAUUUAAUAAUUUAUAAAUUUACAUAUUUAUAAAUUUAAAAUUUAAAAUUUAAGUUUAAAUUAAAAUUUUAAAAAUUGAAAAUUAAAAAUUAAAAAUUAAAUUAAAAUUUGAAAUUUGGAAAUUUGAACUUUUUGAAGUUUGAAAUUUGAAAGUUAAAAUUUGAACUUUUUGAAAUUGAAAUUUGAAAGUUGAAUUUGAAAGUUGAAUUGGAAAGAUGAAAUUUUAAAUUUUUAAUUUUAAAUUUUAAAUUUAAAACGUUUUUGAAAUUUGAAAUUUCAAAUUUGAAAUUUGAAAGUUGAAAUUUGAAAUUUAAAGUUUGAAAUUUGAAAUUUGAACUUUUUGAAAUUUGAAAUUUGAAAUUUGAAAUUUGAAAGUUGAAAUUUGAAAUUUGAAAUUUGAAUUUGAUAUUUGAACUUUUUAAAAUUUAAAAUUUAAAAUUUAAAAUUUGAAAUUUAAAAUCAAAAUUAAAAUUGAAUUUUAGAAAUUUAAAAUUUAGAAAUUGAUACAUCUUUGGGAGCCUAAAAUGGUGGAAUUUUUUUUUUUGGUUAAAGUGGAUUGUAAGUUUACUCCAUUUUUUGGAGUAUAGUAUAACUAUACUCCAAAAAUUACGUUAUUUUUUUUUUCUUCCAAACGCUUCAUAGGAUUAUUUUCCUACUAGCGUAGCAUAGUUUAACUAUGCUACGUUUUUAGAGAUAUCCAAACGGGGCCUUAGGGUGCAUUUGAUUCGCGCUAUUUUUUAAAGAUUUCUAAUAAUCCAAUAGAAAUAAAAAAAUAUGACGGUGUUUGGCUAAACGCAGUAAGUAGUCUAGUUGGUAAUAUUGGAUUCACUUGAAAUAAGAUUCAUCCCAAAGUACUAAUCUCAUUCCUUGAGGAAUGGUGGGUAUCUUCAUAUUAAUAGAUUAGAAUAAUCAAUCAUAAUAUGUCUACUCUCUUUCUUUCUCCCUACCCGCCGGCUAAUUGAUAUCAUUUUUCUUUACACUCUAACCUCGUAUCUUUUUCUAAACUUAUCUUUCUCUCUAAAAUUCAACUUUUUUUUUCUCUCUCUAAACUAAGCUUUCUCUCUCUCUCUUUCUAGAAUCUCAACUCUCUUACUUUCUCUAAUUUCGACACUAUUUCUCUUUCUAUUUUUUUAAUUAUGCUCCCUCUUCCUUUUUUUCUAAAAAGAUGUUGAAACUUUUGGUAGCAUUAUCUAAAAUUAAUUAAAAAAAAUAAAUAAAUAGUAUAUUUUUUGUAAUAUUAAAUAACAUGGCUAAAUAAUAUUACCGUGCGAACCAAACACAGGAAUUUCACAUUCUUAGUAAUAGAAUGAAUAGGAAUAAGAUUCUCGGACAUCUUUUCAUUCCUAGUAAUAUUUCAUAAUGCGAACCACCCUUAAGGCAUUAAAAGAAAAGGGUAAUGUUCUAUACUAUAUAAGAUAGAGUGUAAUAUAUAAGAUAGAGUGGUGUAAUAUAUAAGAUAGAGUGGAAUUGGGUGAUCAAGUGGUUAUUCUAAAAGUAAAAGGGUGAAUUGUGGGAAUAGUCCUUUGUACCAUUCCUAUAUUGCAACUUGAUCUCUCUACUUUUUGCACAAGUACUUGAGUCUAGAAUAUUACAAGAAAAAUAUUUUUUUUUCAUUUAUUUUAGCUGCUUUAGUUUAAAGUUUAAACAUGAUUAAAUAUUCUGUUAGAAACUAAAGGUGCAACACACGAAAAAGUUUAGAAACAAAAAUAUUUAAUUAAAAGUAUAGAGACCAGGUUUCUCUGUGGGGAUAACACAAGGACCAUGCAUACAUUUUACCCAAUAAAAAAUGGUGAAGGGAGUUUGGUGUUAUAUAUAUAUAUAUAUAUAUAUAUAUAUAUAUAUAUAUAUAUAUAUAUAUAUAUAUAUAUAUAUAUAUAUAUAUAUAUAUAUAUAUAUAUGAGUGUCUCCCUCUAAAACAUCACCACUUGCCGUGGAUGGGGAAGCCAUGGGAUUAAUUUAGAUCUUUAAUCUAGAUAAGUUGGGAAUUAGGGGACUAAACCUCUCUUCACAUGCUAAUUUUUUAUUUGAUCCUUUUACUAAUCCCAGUUAAGUUAAGAUGUUGUAAUCACAGCCCCUCUCAAAAGAGACAGCUACACAUGUAGCUGGUUUUGCUUACCUCCUACUAGCUCCAAAUUAAGUUACCUUUGCAAGUGGAUGUUUAGUAUAUUAUGUUGAUUGUAUCUAUGAAAAUGAUCAUGUGGUAACAUAUUUGGAGCUAGGCUCCUACACUUUGAAAAGUUCGAAGGCCUCCACACUUAUAAAUUAUUUUUAAUGAUAUGACAUUCAAUUCAUGAUUGGUUUCGUUAAACAUGAUCUAUACUAUUAAAAUCAUUUGAAAACCAAAUUUCAUACUUUUUUAUUUCAUUUGCUUAUUAGUGAACAAGUUGUCUCAAAAUGAACAGUUGAAAAUAAAAAUUUCAUAAAAAUAAUGAUAAAAGACUCAAAUUUCGAAUCAGAAAUAUUAAUCUUGUUCUUGAUAUUAAAUAGAAUUUUCUAUUAAAGUUUCAUACAAUUUGAAUUAUUCUACACCGUUGAACUUACAAAUGUAUCACAUCGGUCAUUAAAAUAGUUAUUUUUUAGACUAUUUGAUCACUUUGUAAAUGAUGUCGAAAAAUUAUAAAAUUUUGGUUUCUAAAUAGCUCUAAUAAUAUAAUAUAGAUUAUAUUUAACAGAUCGCUAAAUCGGAUGUUCCAUCAUCGAAAAUAACUUACAAGUAUGAAAGCCUCCAUAUUUUUGAAAACGUAGGAGACGUGCUCACAUAUUUGAUAUGCAAAUGAUGGGAAGCACUUGGGUGCACUCUUAUUAAUUAAAAAAAAAAAGGAAAAAAAAAAUGUCUCAUGUGUUUGCCUAAAUUUGGUAAAGAGACUCAUGGAACUCAAUCACUACUAGCUACAAAUACACAUAAUUGCAACCAACCCUAAGAAAAAGUUUGGAGUUGUACAGCUAAGCAGGUGAUUGUGGGACACUCACAUGUUGGGAGAAUAAGCUGUUAUAUAUAUAUAUAUAUAUGUAGAACACACUUUGUGGUAGCUUGUAUAGACUUAGUCAGGUUAUAUUAUGUCUCUCUUACGCUUUUGUCUUUUUGUUUAGUUCCUUAGUAAAAGGUGGCAAUUAAUGGUUGGUAACCAACCCUAAUCUUUCUUUGGUUAGUAUUUGAUUGCUUCAUUAAAAUAAUUACAGCACAAAAACACCACAGAAAUCGGUAAAUUAAUUCCAAAUAGAAGUAGCCCAUAAUUAAUUGAUUUGGGAGGGCUGUGUGAGAUCAUCAGAUUUGUCUUUGCCACUGGUCUAAAUUUAAUACAAUCCUAAGCUCGGUCACAAGCCUCCUCUCUUGUUUUCUUUUAAUUAUAUAAAUAAAUAUUACACCUCGGACAAUGAACUUGAUUGGAUUCAUCUGAUCUCCAUCAUGCACUUACAUAGGGGUGUAAAGACUAUUUUCUGAUCAGUCGUUCGUCAAAUUAUUGAUCUUUUUAAUAACCACAUGUUGUUCCAUUUGAUCGAAGGGUUCUGUUGUUUACUUGUUGGAAUGAUUAAUUGUCCACAGGAUCCAAAACCCUUGUGCCCUUCAUAUGCACCCAGGAGGCACGCAGGGAGAGUUAUCAUCAUUAGAUGAGUGAAAGCUUCAUGAGGGUGCAAACAAAGCCCUCAAGACAGGCUGACAGCUGACCUGAACAUAAAUGGAUUGGUCUGCUAAUUAUUGCUAAGAACAACCCCUGAUGAUUGGUUUGCUGUUAAUCCUUCUUCCUGAAAAUUUUCAGGUACUGGAACCCUAAAAAGAGAUGAAGUUUGAACUAAUCCACACCUUCAUUGGUAAUAAUUAUCCCCCUCUAAAAAACAUUGGGACCGGGCGGCCGUCACUGAAUUCAAAGUACUUUAAUUGGUUAUUUCACAUGGUAUCAAAAUCUGUAGGAGAUUCUGAAUUCAAAUUUUACCAAACUCCUGGCCUCAUUUAAUUAAUUUUCUCUAUUUACUAGAUCAUGUCCACAUCUGUCAAAUUAAAUUAGAGAAAUGGUUCGGUACUUUAUUUUAUAAAAAAUAAAAAAGAUUUUGAUCGUUGAUUAAUGAAGGUUAAAAAUAUCAUUUUAGUAUGAAGCAGGUUAGAAGAUUAUUUCAUGUGAGGGUAUUUUUAUAAUUAAACUAGACAAAAUUUUAAGAAAGUUUGAUUAAUAUCCCAAAUUUAGCAUUAAUUUUGUAACUAAUUUAAGCAUUAAUUUAAGAUUUGAUUGAUAUCCUAAAUUUUAGGCAUUAAUUUUAGGAAUUUUAGAAUUCGUCUAAUUUAGGCAUUAAUUUAACUUGUUGAAAUUUUAGAAAUAGUAAUAAAUACCUUGAGUUUAAAUAUUUAAUAUUUAAAUUUAAAUUUAAAAAAGAGAAAUUUUGUGUUACUAUUUUAACAAAUUUAAUGUUGAUAAUAACGAAUUCAACAUAUUUAAUUUGUUUAAGAAACUUUUAAAUUCCUCUAGUUUAGAUAUUAAUUUUUUAUCACAAACUUUAAAAAAGUUUGAAUGUAGGUAAAAAAAAUAAAAAAAUUAGAUUCAACAUAUAUAUUUAAUAUGUUGUAAUAUUUCUAAUGAAAUAUAUGUAGGUUACGGAUAUGAAAUGACAAAAUAUCUCUGGAUUACAGAUGUCAAUGGAUACAAAUACCCAUAAUUUUAUCCGAAUCCGAAUCCAAACCCGAAAGCAAAUGCAAUGAAUUUAUCUAUGCUAGAUGGAUAUAGUUUUGGAUAUGGAUAUCAAAAAUGAAAUCCGAUAGAUUUAAAUUCGGAUAUGGAUUUUGACUGUAUCUAAUUCGAACCCGAAACCGACCGUAACCCGAAUUUAUUUUACAUUAUAUAUAAUAUAUAUAAAUGUUUGAUAUUAUAUUUGAAUAUGUAUUUUAAAAAUUUAGAUUUAAUUUAAUAUAUUUUAAAACAUUGUAAAGAGAAAUAAAUGUUUCGGUUUCGGAUUUUCAGGUUCGGAUUAGGGUUUGGGUUUUGGAUCUUUAGUUGGGUAUGGGUUUGGAUAUGAUUUUCUAAAAUUCGUCGAAUUUGGGUUUGGGUUCGGGUUCGGGUUUCGAAUUUGAUAGUUGGGUUCAGGUUCGGAUAUUUGAAAAUCCGCCUCAAAUCCUACCAUUUUUACCCUUUUUACAUCUCUGCCAUGAAUGAAGUGGAAAAAUAGAGAGGAAACAAAAAAGAGAUCGAAUAGAGAUUUAGUUUUUUAUAAUAGAAGUAAAAUUACUAAAUUAUCUAUAUAUUAAAAGAUCAAAAUAUCUCUCUCAAAAUGAUUUGGUAUUGCAUGUCACAAUUUAAAAAAACAUUAAAUUUGAGCCAUUGAUUAAAAAUGAAUAAACGGUAUAAAAAAAUAGUAAGUAUAGAAGCAUUAUUAAACUUUCAGAGCAGUCGAUGAGACGAUGAACCAUAAUGGUGAGGUUUAAAUGGAUAAGUGAGAAGCUAGAAAUUCGAACACCGAUAAAUUAAGGAUCCCUAGUGGUAGGGCAUAAGUGGGGAUCGGGCGAGGGUGUGGAAUUAAUUGAGUCCCAGUUACGAGAUUGGAGAUAUAAAGCGUAAGCCAAGCACUUGAUUUCGAUUCUGAUUUCUCUUUUUUGUAAUAAAAAAAAAAUUUAAAAAAAGAAGCCUUAAUUUCCUUAUCUUGUACUGGUGCCUUUCCUUGAGAACGAGCUCAGUUGAGCCUUACAAGAAGACCCUUAUGAGUUGUCCAAUUAGCCAAUAUGUACCUGAACAAGGGCACCCACAUGGCAACUUGGUGCUUAUUAAAUGCCCAAUGCAUAUGGUUUUAGAUGUUAACAAUGGUAUGCACAUGCCCAGUAGAAUUUCUAAAGAUUGUUAGUUGAUAUAUAAUUAGGUGAUAUAUAAUAAGGUGAUAUAUAAUACUUGUACCCAUCUCCACAUAAUUGGUAUUAGUCCUUAGAGAAAAAAACAUACAUUAGUUAGUUUCUUCUUUCUUGUAAUUAUAUCACUUUUCCAAAUUCAGUUUUUGGUAGCUAACUAGUGUUUUCCAAUACUUCCUAAUUAAGCUUGAAUCCAAUUGAGAGCAACAAACAUUUUCCUUUAUAUGCAUGGUUAACAAUUUUAGAGGCCACUGACCGUCCCUAGAACAAGUGCAAAGGGUUUGACGAUUGGUACCAGAAGUUUUAAGUUCGAAUCCUAGUUGAUUCACAUUUUCAGCUAAGUUUAUUUCUAAAUAAAAUAAACAAAGCGGGUACCGUGCUAUCUAUCUCUCAAAAAAAAAAAAAAAAAAUCUAGAAGCCAAUAUAUGUACUAGAUUUGAAGUUCUUUAAUUAAGACUAUGCUUGAUGCAUGCCUCUCUACUAUACAGCAACGAAAAUUUAUAAAAAAAAAAGGAAGAAAAUCUAAGGCUCUGAUUGCUUUAUACAUGUACUCCUUUACGUGCACGCGCAUCAACUGGUGUCUUCAACGUACAGUUGGGAACAUGCACCACGUAUUAGUUUAACUUAUCCCUAUAUACAUGUUUCUAAUUAGAAUAGCAACAAUGGCUUUGAUUAAUUAGGAGGUGUACUCUUUGUACCUAAGUUGAUCCAAGACAAAUUAAAUCCAAAGAUAAGUGCUACUGAUCAGAGGGUACAGCUUGAAACCACCUGUCUUAACGCAAGUGGAGGAGUACUUAAAUAGAUAUUAGAACAUGGGGAUCGGAAUAUAUAAGCAACUGCUUCUGCUUCUGCUUCUGCUUCUGCUUCAUGUUUAAGCCAAAUACGCCGAGAUCAUACCGAAGCUUGGGACACUUGUAUAUAUGAAAAAUAACUUUGAAGCUUCUGGUUUUGUAUGUAUAACAUGGUUAGAGUAAUUGAGUAGAUGUUUUGGUAACCAAAAGUUGGGCUGUGUAUGUUGUACUGUACAUGGUCCACCAUAAAUUUAGAGCCACAAACUGAGGCUUGAAUUUGUAGCUUAGCAUAUCAAUUUGUUGGGUUGAUUUAGCUUUAUAGUAGUUGACAUCCAUGGACCAGUUAGUGGAUUGUUCCCCAAUGGGCUUGGGUUGGAUAUUAUUGGGGUCCAUGAUUUAUAGCCCAUUUAGUUUGGAUCUGAAAACUGGAGCCCAUAUUUUCCAUUUUGGGCCUAGUGAAUUCGACAAUUUGGACUGGCCCAGUUUCGACAUCGGCUUCUUGAACUUAUCAAACCCAAAAGGUUUUUCUUUUUUUUUAAGAACGGUAACACACUAUCUGCUUUAUUUAUUUUCUUUUAAAAUUAACUUAGCUGAAAAUGUGAAACAACUAGACUUCGAACCUGAGAUUCUGGAUACCAACCACUAAACCUUUUGUCAUUUGCGCUAAAGACGGUCAGAAAAUCCAAAAGCUUAUACCCAUAAAUUUGGAUCCACUAAGUAUAUAUCAGUUGUUUACUUUCUUAUUAAUUAUUUGGUAUAAACCAUUUAGAGGUGAAUUUCUAAUAAUCAUUUUCUUUCAUAAGUAAAAGAACCAACUCUUCCUUAAGCUUUAUCUUCUUCAAACAUUAAUUGCAGCUGAAUCACUUUUGGUUUUUCUCCAAAACAUAUGUACAAGUUAAGAGACGCCGCCUAGUGUUUUUUUUAUCCUCGAAGGCGGGGGAUCGAACCCAUUUCAACCUCGUGAGUUUAGGAUGUGGCAUAUUUAUUACAUAUAAAUAACUCAUUUAUCUUCAGAACUUAAUUUCAUAUGGAACGACUAUUCACAUAAAUUCUUAAAAACACGCUUAUUCAUACUCUAUUAUACCUAUGUUUUCCUACCACGCACCCGCGCAAUUGAAUGUACUCAUGUAUUUUACUUCCAUGUAUCUUUCAUAGUUUCAUAUCGGAAUUCGACCUUGUCUCAAAGAUUUGUGAAAUUCAUAUUCAAGAUCAAACCAGUCAAAUUUUAGAUUUCGCUUCCAUAACAGCGAAUUCAUUCCUCACUUCAAAUAAAAUGUCAUAGGCCGUAGAUACAUUCGCAGCUCCACAAGCCAUACAUAUAUAUAUAUAUAUAUACAUAUAUAUAUAUAUAUAUAUAUAUAUAUAUAUAUAUAGCCUACAUGUAUAUCUCCAUCAAACAAAUCAUGCCAUAGUUUUCAUACAGUAAAGGGAAAUAUACUACAUUGUACAAAAGCCUCCCCACCCCUCCUUCCACGUUACCUUACCUUACAUUCCAACACACUUGGAAGUGAGAAUCUAACCAAGUAGUUAAGAGAGCCGGAAAAAACUAAAACGUGAGAAGAAGAAGAAGAAGAAGAAGAAGAAGAAGAAGAAGAGCAGCAGUUGAUUGGAUUCAUAGGCCGAGGGCGCCGAGCGGGGUCUUGCCCUGGCCGGCCUCGAAGUAGAAGAUGAGCAUGGCGAGCAUGGCGAUGCGGGCGUGCUUGAUCUCCGCGAGCUUCAGCCGCUCCAACUUCUCGGUAUCGGGCACGUAGACUCCGUUCUGCAGCGUCCCCGCGAGGCACAGGGGGUCGAAGAACUUGCCCCCCGGGUAUCCCUGCUCGCCGGUGGCGUUGGCGAAGUUCUCGGCGGUGCGCGACCACGGGGUGGCCCACUCCACGGCCUGGGACUCGGGGUUGAAGAAGUCGACCCAGCGCUUGGACUCGACCCAGCCCAUGAGCAGCAGCUGGGUGCCAAGGAGGGAGCCGAAGGAGAAGGGCGCCACCGCGCCCGGGUCGGCGCCGGCCUCGAACCAGGGGAUGCCGCUCCACGCCUGCCCCACGAAGAUGCCCACCACCGCCGUCAUCGCCCACCGCCCGUGGAUCAGCUCCGCCUCCCGGUACCACUUCAGGAACGCCGGGUCCUUGCCCAGCCCCAGCGGGUCGAACCCGUAGUCGCCGGCAAGCCUUCCAUACAUUGGUCGCGCCAAAAAACAAAACAAAAAAAGAGUUUUACCGCCAAAGUUUAAGUUCUCAUACUUUAUCAUACGACAGAACAAAUGUGUUGAAUAUAAAAAUAAUUAAAAAAAAACCAAAUGUAAUGUUCGCCGAUUUUAAUGAUUUGAAUGACAGCUAUUUUUUUUUAUUAUAAUAAUUUAGUUCUUAGUUCUGCUCCUAAUUUCAUAUUCACAAGUCUUAAUUUCUUCUUUUUUUUCUAUAGUUAUAAAUCUUGGUUUUUUCCCUAAAAUUUUCAAACAUAGAUCGAAUCUCUGUUUCGAUGGACUGCAUUACUAGCAGUAAAAAACUGUUAACUACAGAACCGAAGAGAGAAAGAGAGAUAUUUGAGGGCUUACGAGCCAUCGAGCCAGGGGGGGUUGAUGAAUUCGCUGUCGCUCUUGACAGCAGGGAUCCACGACUUCUUCUGUGCGGCGGCCGCGACGACGAGGAGCCUGCGUGAAUUGCCAGCGGCAGCAGCGGACUUGCUGGCCAUCGCGGCGUUUAGGAGCGACCUCCGCGAGCCGGCGACGAAGGGGCUGGAUAGGCUUUGGAGGACCGCGGCGGAGGUGGAGGCCAUGGCCAUUUUUGUUUUCUCCUCUGUUCUAAGCUCACAAGCACAAAACUCUUCUUUGGUGUGCUUAAAGAUUCAAUGUGCGCGUCCUCCUCCUCCUGCUCCUCCUCCUCCUCCUCUGUGAGUUAUUGGGUGGUAUAGUUGUUAUACUAUUGAGAGGUUGAGGUGUGGGAGUGAGGGAGUUGGGGGGAGCCACUAAAUCUGGGGGGGAAUCUCGGAGGCCAAGGAGGAUAGAUUUCUGGCCAAUAGGAAGAGGCUCUCCAUCCACUUCGGCUGCUGCCUGACUGACACGUGGACCUCAUCCUGGCCUUUCGAUUUGGCUCUCGAGAUUUUAGUGGCCAGAAAAUUAAGAUUUUUUUUUUUUUAUGAGCUUUGUACUUUGAGGCAGCGUUUGGUUAGGGGAUAGAAAUAGAAAUAGACUGUUAUCCUUCUCUUUAUACCAAAACGUUAAUUUUUUAUUCGAGAAUAGUAAUUCUCGAUUAUCCCCACCAACAUCUCCAUUUUCUAUAUAAAACUAUUUAAAAUUGUUCUUAUUCCUGGAAACAACCCAAUUUUUAUCCAAACACUAUUUUUCUUAUUCCCAUACUUAUACCUAUCCCUGUAAUAGCUAGUUCUUGCUUAUACCCAAACCAAACGAUACCUGAAAGUAAGAAAUAAAUCUUACAAUCUUAUUUAUUCAAAAAUUAAUAAUUUUGUGCUAAAAAUAUUAAAAAUUAAAGAAUUUUUGGAUGGUGAAUAUAAGUUGUGCACCUCAUAACUAGCUAGGGUGUAAGAGUAGCAAUUUUGAUUAUGAAAGAGAUGUUAGCUCAAAGGAACUAGCAUUUUGUACUAUGACGAGAGGUUUAAGUUGGUUCAAGUCCUGCUCAAAUCGAUGAGAGACUGAAUUGAGUCGAGUUAUACUCAAAAUGAUGUGAGGCUAGUUAAACUGAGUCAUAAUUGAAACACGUGAGUAUUGUGUCUGUGUGCAUUAUGUAAAUUUUUAGAACUAAUGACAAGCGCCAACUACCCGACAAGAGAGGGAACUAAUAAAUUGCAUGCAUAUACAUUUUAGUCUUAUGUGGAUCCUAAUAAGAAUAUUCCUCAAAUAUUGAUGAAACCUAUUUAAUCUAAAAUUUUAACCCUCUAAAUUUAAGACUAAUUAUAUAAUGCCAAAAAUUUUGGUUCUUACAACCAUGGUUCUAUCGUGGACUAGAAAUUUGUUCAAAUCAUUUCGAAUUGUAUAGUACUUUAUGAUAAAAUACUUUAUAGCCACAAGAAAUGAAUUGGUUAUAAGGGAUAAUACAAAAUUAUGCACAUAAUUAUUCCUUAGCGUCAACAAAAACAAAAUGUCCAACUACAAAUUCACCUCAUACAUCGAUGAACAAACCAAAAAAGAUCAACGCACGAAGAGCUAACACUAAGUAAACUAUGCAUAACAUAGUCUAAAACUCCAAGUACGAGAACAAGGCAACAACAAAAGCAACCACAAGAGCCAUCACGGAGAACCCGAGCUCAAUUGCACCCGACUUCGAAUUCGCCGAUGUCGCAGCCGGUACCGGGGCUUGUGGGGACUCCGACAACGGUGGUGGCACGGAUGGACCCUCCGGAGAGAAUGGUGGUAGCGAAGGCGAUGUCGUCGGAGGCAAGGAUGGUGCAGGAAAUGGUGAAGUCGGAGGCGUCGAAGGGGAUGGGGUCGGUUGCGUCGACGGUGGGUACGCCGGUGACUGGUUUGGUGGACCUUCAAUAUAACCGGUUAAAUUUUUUGAAUAGAAAUAUUAAUGUUUUAAUAAAUAUUUGAAAUAAUAACUAGGAUUGCGUUUAAUUGAAGAAUUAAAGAUUGGACAGUGGUAAAUAUUCCUAUUAUUCCUCUAAUACAACGGAGAAUAGCAUAAUAGAUGUUCAAAAUUGUUAAAAUCAUAAAAUAGAUCUCCAAAAAAUUUCAAUUUUUGAGGCAACUAAAUUACAAUUAGCUAGCCAUUCAAAAAUUAAACAAAAUAGGAAAAAAUACUUAGGCAUUUAUUAGUUGUUUCAUAAUUUAAUAAGAGUAAAAUAAUAAUAAUAAUAAUGAAGAUAAACCAAAAAAAAGGUAAAACACAAAGUCAUUUAUCUGCUAUUUACAUAGUUUUAAAAUUUUUGUUUCAUAUAAUGACUAGAAUUGUAUUCUCUAUAAAAUUCAUGUUCUUAUAUAUUAUCCUAAAAAUAAAAAAUAAAAAAAUAUACCCCUUACUUUUGUAACAUGGGACUAUUGGCGUGUAGGAGAGCCCACAAAGCAAGGGCAAAGCGAGAGCUUUGGUGACGUUCACGGGUACGCCUAGCCUCGCCCCUUCUCGUAUGGCCUCACAGAGGCACGUGACGCUCCGGCUCAGCACGUGACCGAGCCCGGAGCAGCAACCCCGAUUCGGCCCCGCCGCAUUCGCCCCGCCCUCCACAAACUCCAAACAUUCGCUGAACCCAAACAACGCGCCCGAACAAUUAUGGUUCGACCCGAAUGGCGUUGACAGGUUCGUGCUCAUUACCGAGCCCAAAAGGGUCUCGAACGAGAAUAAUAAUAAUAAGAAUAGUAAAAAGAAGAGUUGAUUCGUGACAUAGGACAUUGUUGGAGUGUGGUAUUUGGUUUAGGAGAAUGAGGAGAUGAUGAUGAUGGAGUUUAAGUGGUGCUAAUUGUGUAGAUCAUCCUAAUAAUAAAAGCUAAGUAACUCUUUUGGUGGGGAGAUAAAGAGUGUGGGUUGACAUCAUUCAUUGGAAGAUCAAAAGGUUCUGGGUAGCUGCAACAGUUGUGAUUAGUGAAUGGGUUUUUGGUUAUUGAAAAACUGCAUGUAUUUGUUCAAUGGAAUUACCAACUAUUCAUAGUGAUUCAUUCAUUUGGAUCAGUGAGUUCAUUGGAAAGUAUUUUAAAUUUGAGAAUUUCAGGGUGAGGGAAGGACUAAUUGAAUCAAUUAUUGAAAUAUAGACUUUGGGCUGUUUCCCCCUCCAACGCAGUUAAGUUUAGAAUAGAAAAUAUAAAGGGUUUUUUCUUUCUCGUAAAAAAAAUUAAUUCUUUGUUGAAGUAUUUUAAAUCAACCAAAGAUUUUAAAAUAUAAAAUAAGAAAUUUGAUUUUUAUUUUUUUUUUUCAAAGAAGUUGAUCAAGUCUUUUAGCUCCCUCAAAUUUUUUAAUUUUUAAAAUAAAAGAAAAAGUUAAAAAAAAUUAAUCCGACCUGCCGGAUUCGAACCAGCGACCUAAGGAUUUAGCUGCAACGACUACAGUCCUCCGCUCUACCAACUGAGCUAAGGUCGGUUUGCAAUUUUUGUUGACUAUUUUAAGUUUUAUCGAGAAUUAGAGGUCUCUAUUUAAGGGCUUUACUUUAGUAAGCGAAGGAUUUUUGCUAAAAACACUAAUUUGGUUCUUGAUCUGAAUCAGAAUUCUACAAAAAGAAGCAAGAAUAGUUGGUAUAAUGUCAUGGUUAUCUCCAUUGAUUAUAGAUAAGCAAUAGAUUACGUAAUAUUAGACACGAGAAGUGUAGCUUUACAACACUUCACAUUGAAGAUGCGAUGGAAAAAUUCACAUACAUUCAUUCUACUAUCACUACAAAUAUCCAUUAUCCAUUCCUGUAUUCGUGCUUGCAAGCAAUUUUUAAGAUACCAAAAGAUCGCUUCGACCUUCAUCCUGCAGAUUCGGUAAUAUUUCACUAACACUUGAAAUUGGCAGGCCGAAGAGCAACGGAAAAGGUCAAACCAUUCUCACCCGAUGAAAUACAAAACAUUCAUUAUGCACGGAGCAAAAGUCUUAACUAUAUAUGACUUGAAAACUGAGGCCUAUAUUACAAUGAUAUCAGAGAACAUAAAGAAAUGCUUCUAAGAUGUUUGCAAGUCAUCUGAUACGCUGGGUUAACUUUGGUGCGCAAUCUCACUUGGAAGUAAUGUUUCUCCGACAACCUUUUUUUUCUCUCACAGAAUGUCUGCGUCUUCGGAUGGUAUUAUCCUCAUAGCUACUUGUUAUCUGAGUUAUGCAUGGUCAUCUAUCGCUCCAAGCUCAUCAAGAGAUUUGUCAGAAUCAUGAAGUAACGAACCCUCCGAAGGACCUGCAACUGUUUAGUUUGCUUCAGAAAUUUGCGGGAAUCACAGACAAUAAUAGAAAACAUACUUCUGAUAGAAAUUAUUUCUGAUAGAAAUUAUCAGAUAUAAACUACAUAAGGUGUGAGGAUUUGCUCAUAACAGUUAGGUAGGGGUAAAGUUACAACCUGACCAGAGUAGCGCAUUCAUUUGCCAAUACAGAACUUGCCAAAAAUGUUUGUUAAGACUUCUUCAGAUAUGUCCUCCCCAGUGAUCUCUCCAAGAGCCAAAGCUGCUUCCCGUAAGUCUAUAGUCCAGAAGUCCAUUGGCAACUCCUCAGUAAUUGAUAAAUUCAAUCUAGAAAAAGCUUCUUUGGUGCGUAGGAGCUGCUCAAAUUGUCUCUGGAUAAUCAUCAUUGAUCUAUGAUUAAUAAGAAAACAGUUGCAUACAAAUCUAUUUUAACAAAUGAUAAGCCACCCAACCGGAUAAAAUGGUAUUGGUUGCUCAACAAAUACAACAUAACAGAUAUGUAAGCAUUUUAACACCAAUUUUACUCUAAUGUCCUUACAAGAUCAAACGAGGCCUGAAUAUUCAUGUGACAUCUAUUAUAUAAAUCUCAUAAAACCAAGUCAUUCCCUAAAGGGGGAAAAAGAACAAUGCAUAAACUGAGCAUUUGAUAUAUUAUAUGGUUCAUAUCUGAGUAAGAUAUGUAUGUAAUCCCUUUUGGUUUUGUUAAGUGGAACAGGUAUCUCGUUUUGACACCCAACUUAUAUUACAAAUAGAAAUUUGAUGGCUCUUUGUAGUAAUGGCAUUCCACCACCUCUUUCCUCUUCAGUUAUUACCUGCAUAAUCUUUUACUACUACAACAUUACUGCCUUCGAAGUACCAUAGUUUGGCAACAAACUAGUGAAAGAUGACAAAAUUAAGAGAGUAAUAGGGUAAAGAGACACUCAUUAUCCUGUAUAUAGAUCUCUACCUGGUUUAUAGUCCACCUGCGACCCCCUACAGCAGUAGGUUCAAGACCUCGGACCUCCAGUACUGCUUUCUCCAGUUCAGGGAUGCCUUUACCAGUGACAGCACAUGUCAAGACAUGCUUGUUGAAAGAGCUACUAAUGUUCCCAAACUCUUCCACCGAAACAAAUGGUGCGCAAUCCACUUUAUUGAUAACAAGAAUGAUGGGCAUUGCAAUAGCUGCAGGUUUCUGUUCUCCAUGAAGAAACAAAGUCAGCAUAUGUAUUGUGGAAAUAUUAUAUAAGGAAAACAAUGGCAUACAGAACAUGGUCUAUCAAACGCAUUUUCUCAUAAAUUAUCUCAGAGCAAUUGCAUCUAUAUAUAGGUGACGGUAAGUCCAACUUAAUUUUUUUAUAGUUAGAUCGUCUAAUGACAGCUUACUUUUCUUUUUAUCACACACAAAAAAAAGGGAGCAUUCCCACUGGCAAGGUAAGCAUGAGCAAUAGAGCCAAGAGUUUUGCAGCAUUUUCAGACAGAACUGCAUUAAAAAUUACAUGACCAUAACGAAAGAAGAUAAAAUAGCAUACCUGACUCAUCUGAAUGUGCUCAAUAAGUUUUGCAUCAUCUUCCGUCCAUCCAUCAACUGCACUUACUGUCAUAAUAAUCACGUCAGCAGCCAAUGCAGCAGCUUCUGAUCGCUGUACACCUAUAAAAAGAAAAGUAUUAGGAAGAGCAAAUUGUCAAAUUCUUCAGUUAACAUUCUGAAGUAGCAGACCAUCAGCAAAUUAGAAAGAAAAGUGAUGUAUUUGCAAUCAGAUGAUUGCCUGCAAUAUACAACCCUUUAGUAACAUAUGAGAGAACCUUACCAAUUUUUUCUACAAUAUCAUCGGUCUCUCUGAUACCAGCAGUGUCAAGAAGGGUGACAGGAAUGCCUUGAAUGGAGACAUUUGCUUCUAUCACAUCCCUCGUAGUUCCAGCGACUUCAGUUACUAUUGCUCUCUCACUCUGCAAGCUAAAAUAAAACACUAAUAAUUAAAUAACAGGAUGCAGAAAUAGAUAUCAAAGUCCAAAGAAAGCCCAUCAUAUCAACACAAAAAAGUUGCACUGUACAGGCAAUCCCGAAUUACCUAGUAUCAAAUUUAAGACAAUAAUGUCUAUCAAGAUCCCGAAGGAACUAAUAGUUUUUCAUCCAAGAUGGUGCAAUAAUCUUUUUUCAACAAUAGUUUAGUCAUGCUUCUUCAGAUGGAUUUGGGCUGUAUAUGAGACACAUUAAGCACCAAUCACACCAAUGAAGACUAGGAUUCUUCACUACCAUGGUUCACACAUCCAUUAUCCUAACAGCAUCUCAUCAGGUGUUCAUCGCAUGUUAGUUGCAUGUCCCUCAUGAUCCGACAUAACCAUUGCAUGUCUGUAGCUUGUCAGUUGCACACCCAGUAUAGCAAAAUGUAAGAGGAUAUAAAUCAAUUCUCUAAGACUAAAUUUUGUCGCUUUGGCCAAAAUGCUCCAAGAAUAGUAAAAUGCACUGCCAAAUGUAAAGAGAGGGGAAAAAAAAAGAAGCAAAUUGAGUGUAGCCUACUUUGCUCCAAGCAUUGAGGAGGCUUGACUUUCCAACAUUUGGCCUGCCAAUGAUCGCUAUCUGCAAAAAAAGAAAUCAGAACUCCUUAAAGAUUUUGUAAUAUAUCAGGAGAUGAAGGUGAACCCUUCAGGCCGGGAAUUCACAAAAGAAGUCUUUUAUAUAAGACAAUAUCUAUAUCUCAAUAAUAUUUAUAUCAAAACAAAAGAGAAAUACAUGAAAGAAGCCUGUAAGAAGGGAUUAGACACAUCAAAAGGCUCAAAAAUCUAAUGUAGAAUUAUGUCAAUAUGGCAAACUUCGGAAAAGACUGAUAUACGAAAGAAGGUAAGCCAAUCACUCAAGUGAAAAGAAUGUAUCAGCAAAAGAAAAAACAUGAGAGAAGAGGCGAAAAGACAGAAAAGAAAGAACUUAAUUACGCUCUUAAUUUUCAAUUACCAGAUACAAAGACUGAAGCACGAGAUUGCAAACAAUACCUGUAAGCCUGACUGUAAGAGUUUAUCAUAGUUUGCAGUAUCCAUUGCUUGUUGCACAUCAUGCCGCAUAUCACUUAUUUUGUUGAUCAAUAUUGUGGUGUCUAAAGGUGGCAUUUCAUCGUCAAAGUCUAAACGAGCCUCUAUUUCUGUAAGCAACUCAAUGCACUGAGCUCUCAAAGAUUUUACUAUGGCAGAAAAGCCUCCCUGCACAGAAAAGAACAAAAAUUCUGCUUAUUCUCGUCAUCUUUUACUGAAACCUAGACAGUAAAUUAUAAGCACCAUCACCUAAGAAUCUGCAAAAAGAACAGCAUUAGAGUAAAACAUGCCUGUAUACCAGCUAAUGCAGAGUCUGCCGCAGCCAACGACUUGGCUGAAAUAAGUUUUGCAACAUUCUCUGCUUGAGAAAGGUCCAAUCGUCCAUUCAGAAAAGCACGAAGAGUGAACUCGCCUAACAUAGUUGAACCAUUUAAAUACGAGAGCCUAUUAACCAGAAAUACGGAAUCGGCAAAAAGAACAAGAAGCUAACCAGGUUCUGCAAGCUUUGCCCCUGCUUCUAAGCAAGCUCUUAACACCCGCUGCAAGCAAACAUCGUUCCCAUGGCACUGAAGCUCAACAACAUCUUCUCUGGUAUAGGAUCUUGGUGCCAACAUAGGGAUGGCCAAAACCUGAUAGAGAUUACAGCAUCAAAAACCAUCUCCAAGUGAACAAUUCACUAUGCCGGAACGUCGGAAGUUAAAUUCAUUAAGAUGACACAGAGAAAUGCAAAAAUUAAAAUCAUUCGAAAUAGAAAUGCAAACGCAAAACAAAAGGACCUGAUAACACUAUAGAACUUGUCACCUACAUAGCAUACACUAAAACAAGAGAUAAUUAGCAACUGGAUACCUCAUCAAUAACAUUGCCCUUUUGAUCCAACGCGAAGCCAUACUCUACAAAAUGGCUUUUGGGCUUCCACGAUACUCCGCGAGGCCCCCUCGCCGAACUCCUCGCAGGCCGAAACACGCGGCGCGCAACCGCCACCGCCGUGGGACCCGAGAGCCGAACUAUCCCCACCGGCGCCGCACCGCCGCCCAAGGCAGUGACGAUCGCCGCGAUCGUUGCCGACUCCGGCGAGGCCUUAUCCUCCUCCGAUUUGGAUGAGGCGCUUCUCUCAUCUUCGGUGAGAACUAGGGUUUUAUCUACAGAAACAAACGGAUGAGAGAAAAAGAUCAAAACUUUGAGGACGAGUACAGUGGAGAAUCCAGGAGAGGAGGGUAAGGGACUGAAACCUGAGGGGGAGAGGCGAGAGAUUAGGGUUCUGGAUUGGCGUAUCAGGGUAUUGGGGGAGGAGUAGGAGGAGGGGAGGAGAGGGGUUCUAGGGUUUAAGAAAUGGGAGAGGAGGAGAAGGGGAUUGGGAAUUCGCCAUGGGAGGAGGUGGCGGGGGAGAGUGAGAGCCAUUGGUUUCGAGUUUGGCGUCUUUUUUGGACUUCUUCGCGGGGAGGAGAUAAAAAUUUUAAUGGGCUUAACGGGCCCAGGAUGUGCCUCGGCCUUGGACAUAAUCCUCGAUUUUGGGCCUAUUCUCGGCCCAAUAAAGUAGGAUCACCGGUUGGGUUCGGCUAAUCGUUGACCCGAUUAAAAAAGUCAACUCUCCCUAUCUCCUCAAACAGAGCUAUUUCUCCUCUCUCUCGUCGCCUCUUCGUCUUCGUUCUCUCCCCUCUCCCUCGUUUCCAUGGCCGAUGCGGCGGAGGAGAAGAGAUCGAGGUUCGAUGACGUGCCAAUGGAGGAGGAGGAAGCAAAAGCUUCGUUGUUGAAGGAGAUCGAGUCUCCCUCCGACGAUUCCGAUUCCAAAUCCGUAAGAAAUCGCACGCUUUUCCUUGUUCUAGGGUUUGAUUUUGUACGAUGAUUGAGACUAUGGUGGUUAUAUUAAUUUCAUGCUCAACACGAUUUCAAGUAUAAGAAAGUUGUGAUUUAUGUGGUGUUAUGCGUGCUUGAUCCUUUCUUUCAUGCCGCUGCUCGUUAAUUUGGCAUUAGAUUCUAAGUUCAUUAUUUAGUUUAUCAUGUUGCUGAAAAAUUGUGUGGAAGCUCCACAUUGUGUGCAUUUUUGUACGUCUUAAUAUGGUUAAAUGCUCUUAGUAUUUGUCAAUAAUAUCAAAUAAGCUCAGAAUUAUGUCUAGUUCAACUUGUAUUGCAAUAAAACAUGUAGCUGUAAAUUACUUGUAGCUCAAUUACGCUGAGAUUGUACAUAUUCCAAACUUGUACUUCCAAUUCGUUUCCAAAUGUUGCUUGCUUUGUAUGUUUGAGCCAUGCAAAUGUUGAAGCCAGUAAAGCUUUUUCUUGAUCAGUUUUUGGAGAUUGCCUGCAAGAGCUCAGGUAAAGUUCGGCGCUUUGCUGCAGGAACAGAAGCAAGGUUUGCACUAUAUAGUAUUAAUCGCAAAUUAACUGCCGGCACUCUUCCCGCCUUGUAUAUUGAGGCCGUCAAGGAGGGGGAGGAACCGGUGAUUUUUGGUCCCAGGACAGUUUUGGUUAAUUAUGGCCGAGGUUGGAAGUUGCAGACAGUUACUGAAGAAGGUAUUAUAGGCUAGUCUUGAUCUGUUGGAACUUGGAACUUCACUUACUUUUAUCAACAAACUGGAACUUAACAUGCUUGAUUUUUUGUGAAGUCGGCGACGAAGAUGCAAGAGGAAUGCAGUCUACAUCAGUCAGUAACAAGGUAUGUUUUUUCAUAGAAGAAGUGCUACUACGGAAAUCAUGAAAGGUCUCCUUAAAGGCUGUUUAUACGUCAGUAAUCACGCGUGGUGCACAAUUACUAGUUUACAUCCUUGCCCUGAGGCGCUUUGGGGGCCGCAUAAGGGUUGCCCUAGUAUUACUCUGUCUAUAAUGUUUUUCUUUUUGGGUUUGAAUCUAGGAUUCUGCUGAAAUUUUAAUGGAAUCCGACAUUUUGUUUGCUUUUUAUUUUGCAGAAACCACCUGAACUCCAGUCUAUGAAGAAGCCUAGUGGCAGGUUAACACUUCUGACUUAUAUUGGGAAGAUACUGCUUACCUUUGCCUUCAUGUUCCUUCUUGGCGGAGUAUUAACUAUGUUCCUAGAAACUCUUCCGAGCUUACUCUUAUUUGCAACAUCUUUAUAAUUCGUCUGUUGACUCAAUGCUCUUAACAGUUUUCUGUAUAACUAAAUUUUCUCUGGAUAUUGCAGAUACACGAUUUAUGUCAAUCUUAUAUUUUUGUACUUCUUGGCCAGAAACUCACAGUAAUAAUAUUGCAAUUGGAAUCUGAACAAGGUGUUAGAUAAUGUUAAACCUUGGUUGUUUCACCUUUUAUCUCUCUUACUUUCGACAGGAAAGUAAUCUAUGAACUGUUUAAGCUGACAUUAAGGUUUCAUGUCCUUCAUCAUCUUAAUGUUGUUUGCCCUGGAAUCUGUAUCAUGGUUCAUGACAGAGGGUAUCCAAAUCCUAUUGGAUACCUAAGAGUAAUGUAUGUCUCUAACAAGUUUGUAGGAUUUUAUCUGUUUAACACCAGUGCAACCCAACAGGGCCUAUUCCAAUAAUUUUUCGCUAUAUUUCAAAAGCCACCCUGCACUUUAGGAUCUUUGUCAAUAACUCCCUAUACAUCAAAUUUGAUUUUGUUUUUGCAUUAUAUUUUAGUCCAGUCAUAAAUAGCACCAAACAUUUGGGAUAACUAAUAAAAUGUGAUACGAACAUUACCUUUUAGUGGCUGGAUGAAGAUGAGAGCUUAGUUGUGUUCUUGUUCAGAGAGUAAAUAUCAAUGUUUUAAGGUUAGAAAUGAAUUAUAAUUCAAACAAAUUAAGGUGGUUCAAAGACUUUUCCCUUUAUAUUUUUCUUUAGGUUUUUCUAAAAAUUUAUGUAUAAUUUAUGUCUCUUAACCUACAAAAAAUUGUUUACUUUUAUGCAGAAUUGGUCAUUUUAUUGCAAACCAAAAAAUGCGAAGUCUACAACCAAAAAAGCAAUCGGAAUCCUACAAGGCUACGAUCCUUUUAUCCAAAGGUCACUACAGUUUAAUUUCUAGCCUCUUUUUGGUUUUAGUUUAAAAAAGAAGAAGAAAAAAGAGAGUGAUAAAAUUCACAGAGUAAAAUGAUCUUUGGAUGAGAGAGUGUGUAGGAUUACAGCUCAUUUUGGGCUGUAAUUAAGUUUAUCAUUACUCAUGCAAAUCCUAACUAAACCCUAAGCUACUAAAAAUAAUUUGUGAAAAAAUUAACAGCCGACUAAUAACACUCAACUGAUCAAGCAAAGUCAUGCAACAUUAUGAAAAUCCAACGAAUUAAGAGGCGUUUGGUUCACAGUAAAACGAACUGAAAAAUUAUUUUUAGUAUGAUACCAGUUUUCCGCUUGUUUGGUUUGAUGUAAAAAUAUUUUUUCGUAAAAAUAUUUUUAUAGAUUUGGAAAAAAAUUGAAGUUUACAAUUUUCGCUAUUUUUCGGCAGAAAACGAAAACUCACGUUACGUAAAACUUUUUUCAUUUAUUUUUUUUCACUGAACCAAACAGAUGUGAUUUUUUUUUCCUUUCAAUCAAACAAAUAUUGAUGAAAAAUUACUUUUUUUCCUACAAAUCAAAUACUACAAGACGUAAAACUUAUUUUUCACGAUUUUACUUUGAGCCAAAUGGACCCUAAACUUGAGACGAGCUUUUCGCUAUAGUUUGUUCGGCUCAAGCUUUUCUGAAUCAUGUGAGUUGCUUUUUAAACAUGUACUGUUUUUUAGGAGUCUUUUUUCAGUAUCAUGUGAGUUGCUUUGGAAAUUUCCAAAGCCUAGAUGUUUAUUCAGGCAGUUAAUUGAAAGGGUUGAAUAUUUUGUUGUCAAAUCCAACUUCGUUUCUAGGCACCAAAAAAUAGAGAUCUCAAUUUUGCCGCUUCUACUUUUGAUACACGAAGAAGUUAUUAACAACUAAAAUAUAUAUCACACUAUUUAACAAUUAUGUCAUUUAGUUUUGGUCUUCAAUUACUCCAUAAAAAACGAAAAUACAGGUCCACCUUAAUGGAAGGUAUAUGAUGCCAACUACUCCGAUAAACCAUGUCGAGUUAAUUAAUUAACAUUUUUUCAAUAUUUCACAACACAUAUUAGCUGAGAUUCUUCUUGAAAUUAAAGUGUUUUAGCAUGAUCACAUGUUGACCUGAGGCCUAAACAAAAGAACUCAUCUACCAUUGGUUGCUAAUAGUUUGUUGUAUUUAGGAGGAACACCUCUCAUCUAACUCUCUGAACUGAAUUAGACAACUAAAGAUGCAUAUAUAUGUUGGUAAUUAAAUAUACACAUUGCAUCAUCUAGCUCCUAACCUUGUGCAUCUUUAAUAUCUACAAGUAGGGCAUUUUAAAUAGAGCCUAUUGACUUGGAUCUCCAAAUAGUUAAAAAAAAAUUUAGUGGUCCCUUAACCACUCAAUGAGAAAAGUGGUCCUAUGGGACAGCAUUCAAACCUUUGUUCUAAUUUAAUCUACCAAUUUAUAACUCCACGGAAUGAGUUCUAGGAAUGCGAAUUUUUUAGAUGGUAGACAAUUGUCAACUAGUGUUUCCACUAAUAUAUAAUUAAAGGUCCCUUGAUACGUAUAGGAACAUUUUUUUUUUUUUUAAUACAAGUGAUUAGAUGUUCAUCAACUUAGCAUGAUUCUGCAUCAACAAAAGAAGUAACAUGAGUAUAUAUGAAUACUAACAUGCUAGAGCUACACACAAAUAUUGCUACAAAUAUAAAAAUAUAGUUAUACAAUAGUGACUUACAAACAUAGUUUUCAUAAUGAAAUAAUGUAACCAUCCAACUCAUCUCCCUCACCAAAAGCUCAUAGACAUUUUCUGCUGCAAUGUCACACCCACAGAAACUGCAUCUAGUUGAUCAACUGAUGAUCAGCAGGCCAGAACUCAGCUUUCUUAACCUUUGAGAUGCUCUCCAAGACCCCCAUUGGUGACACAUGGCCCAUCACAGUGACCCUCUUGGUGUCCAGAUCUAUGCUAAAGGAUGUCACCCCUGUCAUUUUUUUUUAAUGAAAAAAAAUAAAGUGAUGAUGUUAAAUAAGAAAAAAAAAUCUCAAAAACCACCUAUCUGUAUAUAUAAUUCACUUACAAUUUACCAUCCUAUAUAUGUGUUCUGUUUUAGUUUCGUACGUAUCUUUCAUUAAAUAGCGAUAGUAAAAUACUGUAUUUAUAAAUCAUAAGUUAGUAAAUUAUAGCACUUUAUCAUUUUAAGAUUUGUACUUUACACUAUACUUUGUUAUUUAUAAAAUAUACCAUCAAUUUUGUUGCCAUGUUUAAAACAAAAACCACAUUUUAGGGUAAAGUACUGUAUCUUUGAACCAUGCAUGGAAUAGUAAACUAUAAAUAUUAAAUAAUACUAUACAUUGGGUGAUUUUUUAAAUUUUUUUUGAAAAAAAAAAGAAAAGAGGAGGAAAUUAAAGAACUCUCUUAGUAGUUCCAGAAGAGUACUAAAUAUAUUUUGGUCUAUAUACCUUCCAUUUUGGAGAUGUGUUUCCUUACUUUUCCUGCACACCCUUGACAAUGAAUAGCAACUCUCAUCACCACUACCUAUCAAAUAAGAAAGAAAGAAUAGGGAGGAGUGAAAAAGGAAAUUAAACUAGAAUAAUUUGUAGGGGAUGAAGACAAAGGAACAGGUUAAUACUUGGAGGAAAAUGUGAACACCAAAAUAAUUAACCAUAGAGGAAGGGAAGGAGCAAUAUUUGUUAGUGGGCCACUACUGUUCCUCCACUUAAAAAAGAGAACUUGUACAUAGUACUACCAUUGUCUUGAUAAUUGGUACUAUGUAUACAGAUCCACUUGAGCCAUUUGGAUUCUCCUCCUUGUUUUUCUUUUACUACAUGUCAAUUACCACACAGUUAAGUUUAGCAGGAAGCUUUUAUGGAGGCUUUUAUCUCAUUAAUCUCACAGUUUGUAGUAUGAGUUGUUUACAUAAAUAAAUUUCAUGAACUUGACAUAAUGCUGUACUGUUUUGCCCUCUCUUGAUUAGAAUGAUGAAAGGGCCUCUUUGGCCAACUAAUUAAUUAGCUACAAAAUUUCUUAUUGUGUGCUAUACCCGAAGUAAAGUUUUAAGUUAAACGUUGUACAUAUUUUGGAGGUUUAUAAUCGACUUAUUUCACAUUAAUCCGCAAGAGUACAUUAAAAAUGCAUAAUUUGUUUUGUCAAUUACAUAAUUGGCUCUCAUCUGCUUCUCGAGGUAAAAAAGCUAUUCUACGUAUGAGCAGCUAGGCACCAAAAAGAAUAUUGAAUGAUGCAACUUCAUCCAAUUUUGAACUAGCAUAUAUGUAAGACACAGCGUGAUUUUCUAUUUGCAUUUUAUAUAUAAUUGGGGGCAAAAUUAAGAAGAUCCUAGCAUGUGUAGUAGCUUUAAUUCACGAAUUAACAAGUCAAUUCAUUUGAUUAACCUAGCUUAUUAAUCUCCUUUAGUUAAUUUCCACAAUAUACUCCAUAAAACAAUAUAAAAGUUACAUGAAAUACAAAUAUAUAUAUUUAUAUAUACAUAGAGAGAGAGAGAGAGAGAGAGAGAGAGAGAGAGAGAGUUUAGUUCCUCUACUAUUAAAAGCACAUGAGCAUCUAUAUUUGUAAUUUUUUAAAGCACUAAUAAAAGAGACUUAAGGUAGGUAGCUUACUUGAAAGACAUGAUCAGCAGUGGAUACAGGUUCAAGAGGAGGCAGUACGACAUUAGCAUUGUUUGGCUUUGGCUGCUCCCUGCUGAUUUCCUUCUUCGUGAGCAUGGGGAGUGUGACCGCCGACCGCCUCCGAUCAUGACCGGGGCCGAACCUCCGCGAGUCGGGCAGCCGAGAGUACUUGAAGUCUACCAGGUGCCGCGAAUUCUCGAUAAUCUUCCUAUCGGCCGCCCUCCUCGUCGUCGUGAUCAUCGUCCUCGCGUCGCACGGUAUGCAGACCGCCGUCGACUCGUGCGACCGGCAUAGCAUUCCAUUGGCCUUCAUGGAUAUAGAGAGAGAGAGAGAUAGAAGAGAGAGAGAGAGAGGAGGAGGGGUAUUGAAGGAGAGAGCUAGUUUUGUGGAGGUUAAGGAUAUAUAUAGGAAUAGAGGGAGGGGAAAAGAGAGGAGGGUUCACUCUUUACUUAUAAAAAGGAGGUUGAUAUGAUGCUCUUGCUGAACCAUCUAACUACCUUGAGUUCCAAAUAUAUAUGGCAAAAUAUAAGGUACAUAUAUGAAGUAGCUAAGUUAUAUCAACUGUUUUUUUUUUUUUUUUGUUACUUAGGAUAAAACUUUAAAAAAAAAACAUGAUAUUAAUUAGCAAAUUCUUGACAUUAGAGUUCGAUGGUCCUUUGGGUCAGAUGUUGAUCUAAAUAUGAUCAGUAACUGAGAUUCAGAACCAAAUUCUAACAAAUUUUGAUUAAGCCUAAAUCAAAAUUCAAUUCAAAAACUCUACUGUAAAAAUGCACUAUGACAGGUAACAUUUUCAACAUUAUAUGUAUUUUUUUUUCCCCUCAUAUAUUCUUAAUUUUGACUUGUGAAGUGGUUUAUGUUAAGGAGAUAUAUAUAUAUAUAUAUAUAUAUAUAUAUAUGCAGGAACAGUGGAAGAGAGAGACAUGCUUUCUUAAUGACUGAGCUAACUCAGAGCGGCGCGGACUCGGCUCGAUCGGCUCGGCUCGACUCGGUCACGUGAUAGUGGGAAUGAAAUGACCAUACUGCCCUUGUCAUUUCGUUACCACAGUAGGGUAAUGUACCGAGUGGGGUAAGAAAGGUAACAUUGCCAUUUUUCAUUUUCACGAAGGGUAUGGUCACGUGACAACCACUAAAAUAAUUAACUGGUUGGGUCCCAGUUAAUUUAUGAAGUGACUCAGUAAUAAAUGUCGAGUCGAGAUAAAGUUCGAUCGGUCCAUUUCUCACCAUUAAUCGUGCAUGAACUUUACGCGCGAUCACGUUCCAAGUUUAUAUAAUUUUCUUUCAAAAAAAUAAAUCAGAAGUAUGUUUAAACUUUAUACUCUAGAUCAAUUAGAUUGUUUUUGCGUUAAUUUUGAAUGAACCUUCCAAAACUACCAAUUUGAAAAUCUUUAAUUUUUCCAUGAUUGUAAUUUUUUUUUCUUAUGACCAAUGACUAACAAAAGAUUAUAGAUGUGCUGUUUACCUAAAAUUAUUCGUCAAACAAUGCAUCAGCAAUUUUUUUAUUAUAGUUUCUCUAGUAGCUUUUCGCUUUUUGUAAAAAUGAAGUUCUAAAUUUCUCAUUUACAAACAUGCAACGUUAUAUGCAACGAAAAAAAAAAAAAAGAAGCAGCUUGAAUCAUCCUUUUUUCAUUUUAUAAUUCUAGGGGCCACAAAGAGUACCUGAUCAAAGGACAAUAUUAAUUACCACGAAAUGAAGAUCAAGAGGGUCAAAAAGCUACAGGGGGGAAUGGUAAAAAGUGGUAAGGAUUCAGUUAAAGUUCAGUGCAAUAACUGCAGUAAACAGAGGGAAAGAUUCGGAAACUGCACUCUGAGCUCUCCCUGAACCCCUCUCUCGUAUUGUGCCUCGUCCUACAGUUACAGAUUUAUCAUUUCAGGGCAAAAAAAAAAAAAAAAAAAAAAAAAAAAAAAAUCUCUAAGGAGCUUUUUUUUCUUUUUUUUUACAUCAUUAAUUUCGAUUGUGUAAUCAAUGUUACUUUACUUUCGCUUUCCUAUAUAUAUAUCAUGGUCUAAUUUAGGAUUAUGUUACUAAAAACAUCUGUUUUUAUAUUUUGAACCAUCAAAAAUAUCUAAAAUUGUUUUGAAUAUUUCUAUAAGACGUCAUAAUUUCAAACCUAGUUCGAAAGAAUAAUUCUAAAACACAACACGCAACCUUCGUGACUUCUUUUGAUACAAAUAGAAUCAAUACUACAAAAAAAUUUACGUAAAUGAUUAUAAUCAUGAAUAGUAAUAAGUGAAUCAGCAUGCUAUAUAUAUAUACUCCGGCCAGCUAAUAGCCAUAAGAAAAGGCUGAGAUGGAGAAAAAAAUUUUUGUCCCAGUUUUAGUUAAUGGUCUUUUUACUGCACACAGGUGUAGUAACAAAAUUCUUUUAACAUCAUAAUGUAAUUAAUAUAAUAUAAUAUUAUCAUUAUUUUUGAUUAAAUUUUAUGUACCUCUUACAAUAAAGGCUUUUUCGAUAGAGACGUGCAUAUUUGCAUUGCUGGUACGUACUUAGCGGGCAUGUUGGGCUGUGCAUGGCAGGCGCAACGUAAAGCAGUUGGUGUCCGACCGAUCACACGUCAAAAUCACCUCCAAUCCCCAAAAACUGGCCAUGCUUUCCACUAAUAAAUGAUGGGUGGGAGAUCGAUGCUGGGUGGGAGAUCGAUGCUUCUUCGUGUGCCCACAAGUAGUAUCAGCCCCAGGCCAGUUCUAAGGCUAGCAAGGUAACUAUAAACUUACCCUAAUUAACUGCUUGUAGUAGGAGGGAUCGAAUGUUAUUCAUUAAUUCAACUAGUUCUCUAAACAGGCUUAAGUGAAUUAAACUACUCAACUUGGAUCGCGUUCCAAAUAGGCAUGUUAAAGGAUCGAUCGUGUUAGUUUUUGCACGAUUUGAGUGUAACAAAAUAGUUUUUGAGUUUGAAUCAAGUCGUAGCGGAUUAUUAAGUAUUGGAACCCAAUUCGAACUAGUUAGGUCGUGUAAAACUAAAGAAGUACCGAGAAGUGUACGCGCCCGUCCCUUUUGUUUCUUUAUAAACCGAUUUAGUCCUGUGAACUGAGCCGAGCAUGACUUAACCUGUAGAUAGCUAGACUCAGUUGGCUAAAGUCAGAUUUAUUCUGCUCCCUAUCUAACCUUCAAUUCAAGAGAAUCGAGACAACAAAGCAAUGUUCAUAAAAACAAUAAUUAAUCCAGAAAGAAAAUAAUUAAUUCAAUUGUUUGGAUAGUAAGUACUAGCUGAAUAAAGAACAUCCAAUCCCUCCCAAUACAAUUUCAUCUUUGUAGUACUCAUGAAAUACUCUAUUGUUUUGGGCUAAAAUUUGGGGGGUUAUAUAAUUUGGGGAACUCUAUCUUUUGGAUUCUCUUGGUGAUGGCCUUUUGCUAUUAAUUAGGAAGAAGGCAAAAGGGAGACAGUGCCUGAGGUGUCUGAGGUGCCCAUUCAUGCAAAAGGACAUGAAUAUCCCAUGUCACACUCCUAAACGAGCCGAGCCGGAAUGGGAUAAUUAACCAAAUUUGCUCAACUUUAUUUAUUAAUUACACCUAUUAAAAAUAACAAUUGCUAGACAUGGCCUGAUGAUUGUUAUUUUUUAAUCUGAGGCAUGGCUUGGAAAUUAAUUAAUUAACAGAUGAGAUAAAAAGGCAACAAAUCUUUUUUACUCUUCUGUGAUCAGAAGCUAAAGCAUAAUUCGAAUAGUACAAGUAAAUCACAAGUUCAAACAAAUUUUUCAAAACCAAAGAGGUGGAAAACUCGCUACUAGAUUUUGGUAUUAAUUUCUACAUUGUUUUCUCUUUUUUUUUUUAGAGAAAGAUAGCAUACUACCCGCUUCAUUUAUUUUUUUUAGAAAUAAAUUUAGCUGGAAAUGUGAAAUAACGACUAGGCUUCGAAUUUGGGAUCUCAGAUACCAACCAUUGACCAAACCAUUGAGAUUCUAAUAAUAGAAAAAUGCGAAGAGAUAAGACCUGGAUUUUGACCUUAUCCGAAUAAACUAGCCACAAAUUUACAUGACUUGUUUUUUUCCCCUCCUUAUUGCAUAAUAAUAGUGUUAUUUACCUGUUGAGUCAGAGACUCAGAGCUACACGAAUAUGCAGUAAUGACAGGGAAUAUAUAGUAGCAGGGAGUGAAUAGUGAGCCCAUGCAAUUACUAAUUUUUUUUUGUUUCAUAUAACUUAUGUCUUAUGUCAAUAUAUAUAUUACUUACCAGCUGCCAAAAUUUGGCUCUUCCAUGAGGUAGGAAUGAAAAAAAAAAAAAGAAAAAAAAAAAGGGAAUAUAGUUUCACCAUGGUAUAAUUAUCACUGUAUAUAUAAAAAUUGACAUGUUUGGGAUAUUAUUAAGUAAUACAAUUAACUAAGAAACAAGUGUUUAGUGCUAAUUAAUGGAUAGUAAGUCAUCUUUAAUAGAUUCCUGACCACUUUUUUAAAAAUAAAAAUAAAAAAUGACUUAACUGUUCUGGAACUUGAACUUAGCCCGCUAGUGUGGAAAGGGACUUAAAAGGAUUGAAUAAACAAUUAUUGUCGAGUACGUAUUCCUGUGAUUAUAAGAUAUCAUAGCAAUCAUCGCUUAAUACAGUAGGUUUGUUAGUUAAAGCAACUUGGAAAAAAGUCACAACACUAAUUGUGAUUUGGUCAACUCUUUAACCCUUAAUUAAGUUAAUUAGUUGUAACAUCGUUAUGACAAGUACCAAUCAUAUAUAAAAUAACCACAACAUGGACGAAACACGAACUUUAAUUAGAUGUUUAAUAUUCUAAUAAUGUGAAAGAUAGGAUGAUGCGUUACCUAUGUAUAUACGGUAAAGUUAAUGAUGGAGCUAAAAGGAUGCGAAAUUCCUUCCAAUGUUAAUGUUUGGUAAAAUUAAAUUAAUGCAUCUUUCUUUUUUUUUGAGAAAAAAAAAAAGAGAGCACUAGUACUCAAGAAGAUAGAAACUUCUAAGUUUUAUCUUUAAUCUUAAAAAAAAAUUACAAAUUAUAAUUUUUCGACAAUUAAUUCUAUUCAAACAAUACUUUUCACAAAAAAAAAAAAAAAAAACUAAGUAUUUGUGCAUGAUUGGUCAUUUUGGGAUUGGUCCCCUGUGCCUUUAAACAUCCAUUUAACUUAUCCUGUAGGGCUAGGGCUAAGGAAAUGCAAGCUCUAUAUAUAGGUUCAAUAUAUAUAUGCAUGCUAUAUAUAAAUAUAGAGCGCAGCUACUAUCCGUUUAGGAGGACGGAUGACUUCGUCUUCCUAAAUUAUAUUAGAUGAUAGAGAUUUCAAAUCGAUGAUCGGAACCGUUAAAAUUGAUCUAGAGUAUUUAUAACGUACGUCUAAAAACUAAAUUUCAUAAAUUUUAAAAUUUAUUAUCAAGUUCAUUGAAGAGUUGAAAAAUGAACGGUAAAAAAAAAAUCUUGUGAAAAUAGAUGUUAGACUUUUACAAUUUAUGAUUGGAGUUAUAAAAAAUUAUCUAAAUAGUAUAAAAUUUUUUUUUUCAAAAAUUUAAAACUGUUUGGAUAAUUUUACACCAUUAAACAGGCAAACGGUUUAUACAGGCUGUCAAAAACGGUGAUUUUGUGAUUCUUUGAGCCCUACGUAAAUAAUUUUUAAAAUUUUUAAAAUUUAGUUUUUAGACACUUUAAAUACGCUAAAUUAACUUUAACGAUUUCGAUCAUUGAUUCGAAAUUCCUAUCAUCUAAAACGAUUUAGAAGGACGAAGAUCUUCGUCUUUUUAAAAGGAUAAUAGCUUAAUUCUAUAAAUAUAUAUAUAUAUAUAUAUAUAUAUAUAUAGCCCAAUCAUUCACCUUAAGUUAAGGAGACAAGAGGUAGUUACCACUGAGCUGCCCCCAACCAACUUUGGUUGGUUUUGGUGCUCCCUGCGUGCCCAGCGUCCCACGAUUAACUGCCUUUAACAGUACUACUGAUCUGCCGCUAUAGUACUCCCGGCACCCCCAUGUGAAGCUCUUACACAGCCUUUAUUAUCUUCACUCAUCCUCCCCUCACAAGUUGUUUGCCACUUUGCGGUUCGAGUCAAGUUCAGACGAAGAGCAUACUAACAAAUUAAGUAUGUAAAUUUAGAUUACAUAGUUCGAGUCUAGUUCAGACGAAGUGCAUACUAACAAAUUAAGUAUUUAAGUUUAGAUUAUAUUAAUCAUCGUGCAUCAUUCAUAAUUAACCUGGCCUCUAAGGUUGUUUCACAGCUUUUCAUGUUAUAUCUAUUUUCUGGAUCAGUCUUAAGCAUAAAUAGUUUCAGAAUGUUGUCACUUUGCAAUUUGCACUACAGAGACUCUCCCAUAUGAAGAGUGCACUAACAAAUUAAGCAUCAAAGUAUGUAUAUAUAUCAACAACUGAGCACCAUCGAUAAUUAACCCUCUAUUAAGACUAUUUCAAAGAUGUUCGUAUUAUAUCCGUUUUCGAGACCGGUCUUAAGCCUAAUUAGUUCCAAAACGUUGCAAGUUUAAUUUUCACGUUUGUCAUUUAUUAAUAGUAAAAAGUGUACAAAAUUUGUUGAACUAUGAACCAUUUGAGUCGACUAUCCAACCUUUCAAAAAUUUAAUUUUAUUGCCUAAUUUUUUAAUUUGUUUGACAUUAAUAAGUUGGUUGCAUACUUUGACUUUAAAAAUUAAACCAUUGCUUACUUUAAUGAAUUUAAGGUGCGGAAAUUGUGCAUGAGAUAUACUACUUAAACGUGCUAAGACAAAUGACAAACUUUAAAGUCAAAGUACUGAAUCAAAUCAAACAAAUUGAAAGGUUUGAUAGUAAAAUCAAAAUUUUAAAAGUUUAAAUAUAUUUAUAGCCGACUAAAAAUGAUCUAUAGUUUAUGCAAGUUUUGUACAUUUAAUUAGCUCAAAUCAAACAAAUUGAAAGGGUGGAUAGUAAAAUUAAAAUUUUUUGAAACAUUAGAUAGUCCGUUCAAAAUAGUCUAUAGUUUAUAUAAGUUUUGGACAUUUUUACGUUUUGUAAUUAGCAUAGUUCCUGCCUGUUGGUGGAAGCCUACAAACUAGGGGCAAUGCAUAAAAUCUGGAAAAAAAAAACAUUCCUAGUUUUUUUUUUUUUUUUUUUUUUUUUUUUCUGAGGGAUAAGUAGCACCCUACCCGCUUUGUUUAUUUCAUUUAGAAAUAAACUUAACUGAAAAUGUGAAUCAAUUAGGAUUCGAACUUGGGUCUCGGGUACCAACCACCAAGCCCUUUGUCACUUGCUCUAGGGACGGUCGGUAAAUGUCUCUAGUUGUUCAACAUGCAACCGGGCAACUCGGGCUUGAUUUGGGCUGGGUUGAGCUUUAGCUAAAGAUUGUAGGCCAAGCCCAUUCUGAAUUGUCCCAUCAUGGAUUCAUGGUUAGACCCACUUGUAGGAGCUGAUCGAGCUCUAUGUAUUUUACUUGAAUUAUGUCCAAUAUUAAAGUAGGAAUAUAAGAGUAACAAAUAAUUACAUAGUACAAGAUGAAUCAUUUCUUGCUGUAUCUGUCCCGGGCCCAAAGUUUGUGGUCCUAUUUGUUUAAUUAUAUUUGGCUUUUUGUACUGAGAAUACAUCCAAAUCCAACACGUUGGUAGAUGGGCGUGAGAGUGCUAUGAUGCUCUUCUACUUAGUAAUGAACUCGCACAAAAAUGGCGCGGAUAGAGACCAAAGAGAGAGAUAGAUCGAUAACAAGUUAUAACUUAAGCCUUUCCAUCAUUACCGUAGAUUACUCUGCCUAGUGAAAAAAUUGUGUAAUGAUUUGAGUUUUUCAUAAUAUUAUCUUCAUAAUAAGAUUCUAACACUUUGAUGCACGUAAUGUAAAAAAUUUUGAUUGAUUUUAUGCCGUCGACCAAAUAUCACGUAAAUUUGCCAACACAACAAUGCUUUAUAAGAGAUAUUAUGUUCGGGCAACCCAAGGCACUUCCUGUGAAAAAAUAAAAUGUAGUGUCACUAUGUUAAAGAUCAGAAAUGCGCUCGCACUUUAAAUUACUUCUUGAUCAGUAGUUAGAGUUUAGUACUAAAAUACUAACUACUUAAUUUGGACGGGUCAAUAAGCGCCACUAUACACAGUAAGGCUCCCUUGGGCUCAAGUCCGAUGAUAACAAAAUUAGGCCCAACCUGUGUUCGAACAUACUCCUAGAUAGCAUAGAUUUGUUGGACUGAGGCCCUAGUUUGCGACACUAGCCCAAAACAUAUAUUUCUGUGGUCUAUGUAUUUACAUAGGCCACAGCUCGAAUACAUAUAUUUUAUAUUUNNNNNNNNNNNNNNNNNNNNNNNNNNNNNNNNNNNNNNNNNNNNNUAUAUAUAUAUAUAUAUAUAUAUAUAUAUAUAUAUCAAAUCUAAUCCAUUUAAUUUAUUAUUCGUUAGUCAGUUCGUAUUCGGCUCAUUUAUUAACAAGUCUAAUACGAGCUGAAUUUUUUGGCUUUAUAUUUUAACGAGUCAGCGCGUGUCUGGCUCGUUUAUUAAAUGAGUCGAACACGAGCCGGUCUGCUUGUGUUCGGCUCGUUGACACCCCUAGGUAUAUAUUUGGGGAAGUAGCGUCGAAGUAAAGAAAAGAAUAUGUUGUCUCUCCUUCUAGAAUUUGCUACGUACAUUUUUAAUGUGGUCCAUGCACGAAUUAUGUGUUGGAACACUAGAGCUGAGCCUUUUGCAAUGUUUCUCAUAUCAAAUUAUGAGCCCUGCUGGAAUUAAUUUAUUUGAACAUGGUGGGUUAGGUCUAGCUCAACCAGACCCUCAAAAAUGAAAGACCUUCUUUAAAAAAAUGAAAGAAAAAAAAAGAAAAAUAUUUGUGAACCAAAAUUGCCAAAAGGAAAAAAGAAAAUAAAUAACACAUUAAUUAAUGAGUCCUUUUUUUGUUCCCGGAACAACCAAGGAAAGAGCACAGCGCAUAGCUUAAUGUCUACGAGCUACGUACAUUUUACACGUAGUUAAAUGCAUCAUAACAUUAAUUUAAGAAACAAAAUAAUAAAAAUAUUCAUUUUAAUUGAACUUCGUUUCCGUGUAUCAUGUUAACACACCGGCUUUUUUUUUUUUUGUUUUGUUUUUCCCGUUCUAUGUUUGUUUAUUAGGCAGCUUUUGUACUUUUAAAACCUGUCCUUGUUUCCUUUUGCUUAUGUUUCCAGACAUGUGAACAGGAGUUCAUGCACAGCAAUCAAAAAGUUGUUCACACCCAAUAAACAACCAAAAAGGGAAAAAAAUAAUUGGAAACUGCUUCUUUAAUUGCAUACACAAAGGACAACACAACACAGUACAAGAUAUGUAGUGUCAUUAAAUAAUUUAUAUAUAUAUAUAUAUAUAUAUUGAUAUAGAAGUUUCGUAACAACCCAUACGUCCUUUCCAAGUGUUCAUGAUCUAAUUAACUCCAACCCUAGCUAGCUACACUCUAGGCUACAUACUAUAUUAUUCUCUGACACUAUUAAGGAAAAAGGUUCAAAGGUAAAAGGACAAGACAUGGCAUGCAAAACCCUUUUUCCCUCUUCAAGCUAUUUAUACAAAAAACCAGUAAUAUUAGUAUGUCACUAAUCCUUCUCUAAAACCUGAAAGUGGUCAACCAAGGUCCAAUGCUAGAGAGAGAGAGAGAGAUAAAAUGAUCUCUCUCUCUCUCUCUCUCUCUCUCUCUCUCUCUAUGUUUGUGUGUGUGUGUGUGUGUGUGUGUGUGUGUGUUGUAGUGUCAUUAACUUCACAUAAUAGAGCAUGCAUUCGGGUUUUCAUCACUAAACAAGGUGGUGAGCUGGUCCUCCUGUCUGACUAGUUGGCUAGAGAGUGUUACAGCCUCGACAUUCCUCACAUACCCAGGUGGUGCCUUCUUGUCAUAAGCUGGAGCAGCAUAAGGAUGGGCCACCAGAGUGUAAGGAAUGUAAGGCCAAAUCUCAGCCCUUUUCCCUGUAGAUUGAGCCUUCUUUAAUACCUUGCUGGGCUCAACAUAACCUGUCACUGUAACCUUUUGCUGCUUCCUGUUGAUCUCCACUGAUUGAACUCCUACAUUAAUUAAUUAACAGCCAUAAAGAUCACAAUUAUAAGAACACUGCAUAAUAUAUAUAUAUGUGGAUUUACAUAUAAUACAAUGUGAGAGAUGAUGAAGUGUUGGAUUAUUAUAUAUAUUGUUGUUACCUUUCAUGUUGGAGAGUGCGUUUUUGACUUUGAGCUCACAACCCUCACAGUCCAUUCUAACCUUGAGCUCCACAGUGUGCAACUGCUUCCGCUUCUUGUAGCUGUGGCCAGUGCCCAACAAGCGAGAGAGGUAGUAUAUUGUCCCUCCCAUGGUGCUUCUUUUGGCUGUACUAGCUUAACGAGAACGGAGAAAAUUAAGGAGAAAAGGAAAAGCACUUCUAGAUGAAGAAGAAAAGAUGGAGGAGCUAGCUUAUGCGUGAAGCAGCUUUCGCUAGCUAGGUGGAAAAUUACAGGACCACAACCCACCCUUCGCUUUGGAUGGGUAUGCAAGGUGGAAAAGGCUUCUUUUGAGCUCGAUGGGUAGGUGGUGUUGAAAAACAGAAGCAGCUUCUUGGAACUCCAAACUCUAAACAGGAGAAGAGCAACAAUAAGAGAGCAAUUAACAAGAGUGUAAAAAUGGCUUCUCUAGAGAACUAUAUAUAUAUAUAUAUAUGAGAUGAGAUCACCAAGAGAUAUUUAUACUAAGCUCUUCCUCAGGCUUACUCUUCUUAUAAGAUAUAAGAUACCUUCCUCCCCACAAGCUAUUAUGUAUCCUAUAUUCCCUCUCACUCACUUCUCCCUUUGCUUCACCUCGACCCCUUCUUUUAUAGGCGUUCGAGGAGAAGCAUGGGCCUUAAGCCAAGGGCCAAGGGUUAAUAAAAAAGCAGGUGAGGGAAAAAGAAAAGAAAAAGAGGAGGGGAAACCCAAAAGGAAACAACAGUAGACUCGUGUGUUUUGUGUUGGGACUCUGACCUAUGUAAAAUUAAUAAGAGCAAUAAUAAAAGGGCGAGGGGUUGUGCAUGGUCAUGUGGUGUGUUUGUGUGUGCGAGUGGAGAACUCAGUCCUUGAGGUGCAAGAAAGCUUUUGGGAAUGGGAACAGUAAAAACUCAUGUGUAGAACCCAAUGAAAAUGACUUGGACCAAGGCCAAGGGACCCUCUUCUUCAGAGAGAGAGAGAGAGAGAGAGAGUUAUAAGUUACAAGUUAUAAGAGUUAAAGGUGGUGGUGGUGGUCGGUGGUCCACGCAUGAAAAGGAGGAGAAUUUAUUGGAUGCACCUAGUGUGUAGUGUGAUGUAUAUCUCACACCUAAAAUUCAAGUUUAGAGGUUAUGUAUUGUAAUUCAAUUUCGUAAAUAGAUUUGUAACAUUUAAAAGUCAUACACAUCACAUCAAUAAUUAUAAACUUUGGACAUCUGUUAUUUAUGAAUAUAACAAUAUUUUUUUAUAUCUUCAGAAAGUCUUCAAUACAUGCAAUAGGUAUUUCACUUCAUAUAUAUCCGACUAAUUUUGAUUUUCGUAUUAAAUAGUAAAGAUAUAAUGAUCAAGCGCAAUAUUGAAACUUCAAAAUAAAUGAUUGGUGUCCCAAAAACAUAAAAAUGUUAAUACAAUAUGAAAUUAUUUGAUUGUUGCUACACACACACACAAAUGCUACAGAGAAAACCACACACACACACACACAAAUGCUACAGAGAAAACCACACACACACACACAUGCUACAGAGAAAACUUAAUUUCUUCUAUACUAUUGAUUUUAGAACUAACAAUAAACAUGACUUAGUAAUACUGUGUAAAGCUGCUUUUUAAACCUUAAUAACAUAUUUCAUAUUAAUUAAUGUUGUAUAUCACAUUUACAAAGUGGUGCACAGUGCACCAGGUGCCCAAAUGAAUACCAAGGAACUGGGCUUCCCCUGGACCCUUCAUCCUACCAACUCCAACCAUGUUUCGAGUGCCACGUGGCAGUGAGGGACCAAUCAAGCUGCGCCACCUGUAACAGAGUGGUUCAGUUCUUAAGCUGCGCUUACUUGUAGCUGUGUGAUUGGAAAAUAUAUAUAUAUGUAUAUAUAUUUCCCCAGGAGUUUCCCUUUCGAAGGACUUAAAAAAUGAAAUGAGUGAUUAGGGUUUGAUUGGAGGUUGGUUUGUUCGUGUAGAACACCUCAAAGUGUUAUUUCUUCCUGUGGUCUCCCUUACAGGUGGCUACUUAGUUACCUCUUCAAGUAUACUUCAAUCAUUUAUGUUUGAAACAUGUGGCAUGCAAUUGAAGAGCCUGUUGAUGACUUUUUCUUAUAUUAGCAAUUAAAGAGUUGAUGGUAUAAUUAAUCCAUGGCUUCAAUUAUUGAGGGGAUUAAUUGGAUCAUGUCAUCCAUAUGUCUUAAUUAUCUUUAAUUGUGUGUCUUCCUCUUUGGAUCUCCUAAUCAACGGAUUAAAUUAACAAAAUAUUAGUGUGGAAUUAUUGAUGAUUAAAAUAUUUUCUUUUUGGUAACUUAGGCAUUUAGAAUAAUUAAUUUUUGUUCUAUUUUUUAAUAUGCUCAUAAACCACAUCACUCAUGUAUAGACUAGUGAGUUCGAAUUUUGUGAGGCUCUUAGCUAUUCUUAUUUAAUUUUUCACAUUUUAAUUUAAUUUGACUCUUCUUUUAUAUCAAAAUAUAUGCUGUGCAUUUGUUGGACGUUGCCAAAAAGUGUCUUGCAUUAAAUAGGCUAUCAAAGCACAAGUUAUACGUAGCAUCAAAAUUUAUACGCCCGUACCAAACAUAAAAGCUUUACAUAACUUUGCAAUCGAAAUUUGCUGUACCUUUCCUGACAACAACAAAACUAAGGAACAAAGUGAACUUUUUUCAGAUAAAGGCACCAAGCCUUUCCCUUCGUUCAUUUUUCAUUUAAAAUAUAAUAAAAUUAAAAAUAUAAAAUAAUUAAAUUUUAAAAUUUAAGAUAUUAAUCAUUAAGCUCUCAACUAACUACAGUUGAUACAGGUCGGUAAAAAAUAAGUUGUACAUAGUGUACUAAGCUUUUCAAAAUCAUUUGCGUUAAUAUUACAACUACAGUGAGAAAAAAGGUAGAUUAAAGAAUUUGGCCUUCAAUCAAUCAUGAAGCAAUAGAAUAAAAGAAAGAAGACAAAUGUAGCAUGCCAUGUAAACAAAUAAUACUAGGUGUUAUAUUUAGUUUUCCAAAAGAGAAAUUAGAUCUUUUGACUGUAGAAGGAGAAACAAAGUCAAACUGUAAUAACUUGUACAACAUAAUAUAUAUUAUGUAUUUUUUUUUGUAUACAAUUAUCAUAUACUGUUAGAUAUUGUUUGGUUCGAGAAUAAGAGAGAAUAAGUUCUUGUUCCUUUUUUUGUUCUCAAAUAUUAUGUUUGGCAUUCGAAAAUAGUAUUUCUUAAAUUUUUGGAAUAAGUUGGUAUGAGGUUGAAAUUGUUUUUUCUGGAACAAGCUUGUUCCCAGGUGGGAACAAGGUUAUUUAAAGUUUAAAUUUAAUUUUAAUUAUAUUAUUAAAUUAUUAAUUAAUCUAAUUAAUAUAUUUAAAUUAUUAUUUAUUGUUUAAAUAAUAAAAUAAUUAAUUUAUUUAUUAUUUAUAAUUAAUUAUUAAUAAUUUAAUAUAUUUAUAUAUAAACUAAUAUUUAUAUCGAUCAAUCAUUAAUAUUUCUAUUAAUCUAAUUAAUUUUUUUACUAGUUAUCUAACUAAAAUAAUUUACUAACUAAUUAAAAAGUUAAAUUAUUUUUUAUAAUUAAUUAAUUAAUUAAUAUAUUUUUAUUACCUUAUAUACAAUAUUCAUAGCUAAUAAAUUUAUUAUUUUAUUAAAUAUUUUUAAGUAAUAUUUUGAUAUUAAUUAAUUAGAUACAAUAAUUUUAAUUUAAAAGUUAUAACUCUUAUUCCUUUUAUUCCAAUAUAAUCAUCCAAACACUAUUUAACUUAUUUCUAGAAACAACCCAAUUUUCAUCAAAACGCAAAAUUGGUCUAGUUCCUAUUUAUAUCUGAACUUAUAUCUAUCUCCGGAAUAAGUAGAUUUUACUUAUACCCGAAUCAAACACAGUCUUAGAGAUCUUUAAUCAAUUAUAACUUUCCGAAAGGUGAAGAGCAAAGGCAGAAGAAGCAAGAAAGGUAGCAUCUAGCUCAAUGGCUAGAGAAUAUAUAAUGCUACCAUCUUUUUUCCUUUUCUUUUUGGGGGGGCUUUGACUUAGUCCUUUUUUUUUUGGUUUGAACCCCUUGUAGAAAGAUAUUGCCUAAGAUGCCACAGCUUGCAUCUACUCCAAGCCUUUGUUCUCCUUUUCACUAUGAAAACUUAGCCAAUAAGGAAAAGAAUUGCACCAUCAAAUUAAAGUUGUAAAUUUCCAAUUUACUACGUAAAAAGAUUUGCAUCUACUCCAAGCCUUUUGUUCCUUGUAGCUACUCAAAACCUAGCCACCAAGUAAACAGAAAAAAAAAAAAAAAAAAGGGUAUCACUUUAGUUCUAUUUUAGCUGUUGGAAAAGAAUAAAAAAAGAGUUUCUUUAUCAACCCCCUAAUACACUGAAUGCUAAAGUAAAAGGUUCUAAAUUUUUCGUCGUCUUCGCAUCUACAGUAGUGUUUUAGUUUUCGCGGUCGGAAUGGUUUCGUCGGUCGUUCUCCGACUUUUAUAUCACUGUACUUCAUUCAAAAAUCAUGAAAAAUCUAUGACUAAUUAAUUUAAUCAGAUGCAACAGAGAAUUAAGGCAGUGUUUGGAUCGGAGAUAAGGGGAGGGAUAACCCUUUAUCCCCUUUAUACCCAAACGCAAAUUUUUUACUCGAGAAUAGUAAUUCUCGGUUACCUAAAAUAACUUAGUAUAACUAUCCCCACCAACACCUCCAUUUUCUAUAUAUAACUACAUACUAUUUUUCUUAUUCCAUAUUAGCUAUCCAAACGCUAUUUUUCUUUUUCUCAGGAACAACCAAAUUUUCAUCCAAACGUUAUUUUUCUUAUCUCCAUACUUAUACAUAUCCCUAUAAUAGCUAGUUCUUGCUUUUAUCUGAACCAAACGCUACCUAAGAAUACAAUGUCCUUUGCUGAAGACAAACGGGUAAUGACCGACUUUGGUAUCACUAUUCACUCUAAAAUCACGAAAAUCUAUGGCUAAAUUCAAUCAGAUGCAGCAGAUAAUUAAGAUGCAGCAGAUAAUUUAGCUGAAGACAAAGUGAUAUCAAUUUUGUUUCUUUAAAAUAACAGCUAAACUAUUUGUCAUCACUUGUGUCACUAUAGAUGCUGGUGAUCUCUUAGUGAGAACAAACAAAAGUUGCAGUAACCAGCAAGUAUUUUAUAAAGGUCCAUAUUGUAAGGGACAGGUGAAAAUGUACGCGCACCUUAAACUAAGGGUGCGUUUGGUUCGCAUUAUGAAAGAUUACUAGAAAUAAAAGAUAUCCGAGAAUCUUAUUCAUAUUCAUCCUAUUACUAAGAAUGUGGAAUUCCUGUGUUUGAUUCGCACGGUAAUAUUAAUUAGCCAUGUUAUUUAAUAUUGCAAAAAAUAUACAAUUUAUUUAUUUAUUUAUUUAAUUAAUUUUAGAUAAUGUUGCCAAAAAUUUCAACAUCUUUUUAAAAAAAAGGGAGAGAGAGUAUAAGUUAGAGAGAGAAAGCAUAAUUAAAAAAAUAGAAAGAAAAAUAUAAUCGAAAUUAGAGGGAGUGAGAGAGUUGAAAUUUUAGAAAGAGAGAGAGAAAGCUUAGUUUAGAGAGAGAAAAAAAAGUUGAAUUUUAGAGAGAAAAAUAAGUUUAGAGAGAGAUAUAAGGUUAGAGUGUAAAGAAAAAUAAUAUCAAUUAGCCGGCGGGUAGGAAGAAAGAAAGAGAUUAGACAUAUUAUGAUUACCCCAAUCCAUUAAUAUGAGGAUACCCGCCCUCCCUCAAGGGAAUGAGAUUAGUACUUUGGGGUGAAUCUUAUUCCCAAGUGAAUCCAAUAUUACCAACUAGAUUACUUAGUGCGUUUAGCCAAAUACCGUCAUAUUUUUUUAUUCCCAUUAAAUUACUAGGAAUCUUUAAAAGAUAGCGCGAACCAAACGCACCCUAAAGGUAAUUCGGAAACUUGGCACAAAACUACUUUUUUUGAACUUAAUCACCCAAGUGAGAACUUUUUCUGAUUUAAACAACUUCCGUACGAUUUAAUAUAUUUCCAAUUAAAAAUUACAUAACAUAAUCCUUCACUUUAUGCAAAAAUCAUAGUUAAAGGAGUUCAAAUGCUGAAAGAUAAAGAAAUAAAGCAUUAGAGGUUUUGUUUUCAAAUUACGCAUCCCCUUAUAAAAGAUAUUCUGAGGAGUUGUAAUGCUCUUCGUUCAACAAGUAGUUUCAAUCUCAAAUAUGGAAUCAUCUUUCAAAUUAUGAAGUGGGUAGGGGUGGUUUGAAUGCAAUUAAUGCUUAUUGUUUGUUUUCUGCAAGAGUAAUAGGAAAUAUUUGCUGCAUUCAUCAAUUAAAAUAGGAAAAACUUCAAAAACUCCCCGUGAUUUCACACUUUUUUAUUUUAGUAUCCUGUGGUUUAAAAUGUAUCAAAUUAGUACCCUGUGGUUUCUCACUUUAUCACUUUAGUAUCUUAUGAUUUAAAGUGUAUCAAGUUAGUACCCUGUGGUUUUGCACUUUAUCACCCUAGUACCCUGUGGUUUCACAUUUUAUCACUUUAGUACCCUAUGGUUUAAAAAACCACAGGGUACUAACUUGAUACAAAAUUAAAACCACAGGAUACUAAGGUGAUAAAGUGCAAAACCACAGAAUACUAACUUGAUACACUUUAAACCACAGGGUACUAAAGUGAUAAAGUGAGAAACCACAGGGUACUAACUUGAUACAUUUUAAACCACAGGGUACUAAAGUGAAAAAAUUGAAACCACAAGGGAGGUUUUUAAAGUUUUCCCAUUAAAAU